AUUGAACGCUGGCGGUAGGCCUAACACAUGCAAGUCGAACGCGUGGCGGACGGGUGAGUAAUGACUGGGAAACUGCCUGAUGGAGGGGGAUAACUACUGGAAACGGUAGCUAAUACCGCAUACCAUCAGAUGUGCCCAGAUGGGAUUAUCUUGUUGGGGGGGUAACGGCUCACCAAGGCGACGAUCCCUAGCUGGUCUGAGAGGAUGACCAGCCACACUGGAACUGGAACACGGUCAAGACUCCUACGGGAGGCAGCAGUGGGGAAUCAUGCAAAAUGGGCGCAAGCCUGAUGCAGCCAUGCCGCGUGUAGGAAGAAGGCCUACGGGUUGUAAAGUACUUUCAGCGGGGAGGCGUUACCCGCAGAAGGAGCACCGGCUAACUCCGUGCCAGCAGCCGCGGUAAUUC
rnacentral:rRNA from 1 species